rnacentral:rRNA from 1 species
CGUAAAGUACUAUCCGGGAGACACACGGCGGGUGCUAACGUCCGUCGUGAAGAGGGAAACAACCCAGACCGCCAGCUAAGGUCCCAAAGUCAUAGUUAAGUGGGAAACGAUGUGGAAAGGCCCAGACAGCCAGGAGGUUGGCUUAGAAGCAGCCAUCCUUUAAAGAAAGCGUAAUAGCUCACUGGUCGAGUCGGUCUGCGCGGAAGAUGUAACGGGGCUAAACUAUGCACCGAAGCUGCGGAUUCAAAAUUUAUUUUGAGUGGUAGGGGAGCGUUCUGUAAGCCGUUGAAGGUGACCCGGGAGGGUUGCUGGAGGUAUCAGAAGUGCGAAUGCUGACAUGAGUAACGAUAAUGCGGGUGAAAAACCCGCACGCCGGAAGACCAAGGGUUCCUAUCCCAUGUUAAUCAGGGUAGGGUAAGUCGACCCCUAAGGCGAGGCCGAAAGGCGUAGUCGAUGGGAAACGGGUUAAUAUUCCCGUACUUGGUAUAAUUGCGAUGGGGGGACGGAGCAGGCUAAACAAGCAUGGCGUUGGUUGUCCAUGUGAAAGUGAGUA